ensembl:lncRNA
GGCAGGGUGACUCCUUCCUGGAGGACGUCCCGUUACCCCGAAAGGACCGGCUGCCGGCAGCGUGCAAAGUUCUCCAGCCUAAGCGAGGUUCUAGCCAGCCAAGGCGUUGGGAAAGACGGGGCAAUUGUGCACUCCCUGCCUUCCUGAGACUCUAGCCUAGCCCGGGGCUUACAGGUGACAGUUACCUCCCCAGCACGUGCAGAGCUGAAGGGUCCUUGAGAUAACAGCAGGUACGUUUCGCUGGGCUUCAGGAGAGUCAGCCCCUACGACAGUGCCCAGAGUCACGUGCCCAUCAUGCUCAGGUGUUAGCUAUGGAAAUUAGAGUAACGUGUUUUACAGUACAUAGAGUUAGUAUUCGGGAGAGGACCGCCGCCCACCGCACACAGCACGACGGUUUCUCAGUUUCAGCUGACUUUUGAAGAGAAAUGUUUUUGCCUCAGAGUUUUCGGAAACAUCUCCUUGAUAAAGGUGUGCCUUAGUUACUUUUCUCAUUGCUGAUUCAAAAUACCCAACAGCCAAAGUCAAAGGCUCACAGUUUGUCAAGAUUUCAGUCCAUAGUCCAAACCAGCAUGGCAUGGCAGAGGGACAUCACAAAGGAGAACCAGCUUACAGCAAGCCAGCAGGAGACAAUGAAGCAGCAAGCAGUGAAACAGCAGAAGCAGCCUUCUUGCGGCCCCUUUAUAUUCUAUCCAGGCUGUAAACCCAGGGUGGGGCAGCCUUAAUCCCAGCAUCACAUCCUUAAUCUCAGUAUCACACACUCUAGAUCCAGCCACCUUCAAAAAGCCCCACCUAUCACUUUAUGAGUUUUGGGGGGAACAUCGAGAUAUAAGCCAUAACAAGGUGGAAUAAGAAAGUAUAGGAAAUGUUCUCUUUCACUAACUGAUUCCGAAAUUAUUCAUUUAGAAACAUUUGAAAAUCAAGUGGAAGCUUCAGAACUAGGUGACUCCAAUGUGAUCAAAACCGAAAACAGCUGGAACUAACCGUCCUUAAACUGGCAUGCUGGAGAUGGGUGUGGCUACACUACAGAUGGAAUGGUAUUACCAGCUCUUCUGCCUCCAAGAAAUAGAAAUAUAAAGAAUAAACUUCUGAAAUCUCUGAAUCCCAGCAGAAAUACAGGCUGGCAGAACACAUACAGUGUCCUGCUCCCUCGGCAUGAAUUUGCUGCUGACUGAAGGUUGCAGUGAAGGUGAGCAACUGCUCAGAAACCAGGACUGGUUUUAUCCUUUCCUAGUGGCCAGGUUCUUGGUCUUUUGGAGAACACCUAAGGGUUUACUACCUGUUGGACCACAGACUUCAAGCCAGCAAACAUUUUCCAGUAAGGAAUGGAGUCUGAGAGCCACAUCCUGUCCCCAAGUCCCACUAUUUUCAAAGUUUCAACUAAUGGCUCGAAUCUAAUCCCAUAGGCACAUAUUUUGUCAACCUGUAUUUUGAAGACAGUGGAACUCAUCAGCUAUAACCUAAAGCUGAAUGUAGCCAGAAAACAGUAAGAAAACAGGCAAGAAUUUUUCUUGUCCCUUUUGUCUAUGUUUCCAACUUUUCUUUCCACAGUCUCAUCUACUUCUGAGUUCUUUUAAUUGCCUUUUGACUAUGACUGUGUCCACUGUGUAUCAAGGAAUUUAAUCACUUAGUCUGGACUUUGCUUCUGGGAGCCUAAAGACACUAUUAGAAAUAUAUUAUAAAGCGUGGUAAUAUCACAACCAAAACAAAUUGCCAAACUCAAAAUCACAGGAAAGGACACAUGGACAUAAUCUCUACUCAUAAAAAGUAUUAUUGCUUGGGAAAUUUUUUCUUUAUUAACUUUGUAUUUUGACAUCAUUUUAGGCUUUAAAAAUUUAAAAAAUGUAGAUUGUAUAUCUUUUACCUAGAUUCCCCAAAUUUUAAUGUUUUAUACAAUCACAGUGAUGUGAAUAAAAUUAUCAAAAUCAGGAAAUUAACUUGAUACAAUGCAAUUAUCUAAUCUUCAGACACUCAAAGUUUGUCCAUUGUCCCAUUAAAGUUCUUUUUAUGGCCCAGAAUUCAAUCAAGAAUUUCAUGUUAUAUUUAAUUAUACUUGUUCAUAGUUUCCUUUAAUUUUUUUUUUCUUUUUGUACCUGGGAUUGAACUCAGAACCUUGCACUUGCGAGGCAGGCACAGCACCACUGAGCUAAAUCCCAGCCCUAUAGUUUCCUUUAAUUUACAAUGCUUCUUUAGUCUUCCUUUGCCUUUCAUGACCUUGACACUUUCAAAGGGAAGUGCCCCUCAAUUUGGGCCCAUCUGAUGGUUCUUGGUGGUUAGAUUCAGUUGUACAUUUUGAUGCAGGUUUCAGGACAUUGAUAUAUCCUGUUACUGGUGAGAUUAACUCUAAUUCUUUGGUUAAGGUUGAGCAGUGGUUACCACUAUGGUUACCUUUUCCUCUUUGCAAAUACUAAGUAUCCUAUAAAGAGAUAUUUUGAGACUAUCCUGUUCCUCAUCAUACAUUCACCCAUUACUUUCAGCAUCAUUUGAUGAUUCUUAUCUGAAACAAUAAUGACUGUGAUGUUUUCCAUAAGGUGAUUUUCUAAUUUCAUUAUUUCUUUUUAUGUAUAUUUAUUGGAAUUAUAUGAACAGGGAGAACUCUUUCUCCUCUAUUUAUUUAUUUAUUUAUUUCAUGUCAAACAUUUCAAUGUACUUUGAACUGUCUGUAAGGAUACCUGACACAUGAGUACCACCAUCCUUGUAAGAUUAGACACUAAAAUCGAUGUUCCUCAGCACAGGAGAGAGGCCUAACAUGACCUCACUGACCCCAUGUACCUCACUGCACCUGAUCACCCCACACAGCUGGUUUCUCACCUGAUCAUUCCUGCUUACACUGUACCCUCCCCAACUUGCCUACAACCUCUUGUCUUCUGUUUUUUGGUUUUGGUUUUGGUUUUGGUUUGAGACCAGGUCUCCCUAAGUGGUCUAGGCUGGCCUGGAAUUUACAAUUAUCCUUCCUCAGCCUCUCAAAUGCUGAGAUUAUAGACCUGCACCAUGAUGCCUGCCUCCCUACUAUUUCUUCCCUAGGUCGGCAGAUCAAAGGCAUCUCACCAGGAGGUUAUUCCUUGGCCCUUAGACAUUCCCAACCUGGCUACCUGAGUGUCCUUCUAAGUCCUUUCAUGAUAUUAUUUUUAAAUUCUUCUGCUGCUCUUACAUACUGUCCUAUACUGGUCUGUUUAUGUGAAUCUCCUCAAAGAGGCUCUAAAGUUCCAGAGGACAUAGAUUAUCUUAGACUCCACAAGAAAGAUGGAAGCAACCCUAUGGCAUUUGUGGUUCUGCCAACAGGAAUAUUCUUUAGCCUGCAUGGUCUGUGUACAGAAAUUUUUGGAAGCAAAGGGAUAUGGUCUUCUGUCCCUUUUUUUUCUUCCCUCAUCCAUUAUAAUUUGAUUCUCAG